UACAUGGGGUGCAAACGUUGCUCGGAAUCAUUGGGCGUAAAGCGCGCGUAGGCGGUUACUUAAGUUGGAUGUGAAAGCCCUCGGCUUAACCGAGGAAGUGCAUCCAAAACUGAGUAGCUAGAGUACGAAAGAGGGUCGCGGAAUUCCCAGUGUAGAGGUGAAAUUCGUAGAUAUCGGGAGGAACACCGGUGGCGAAGGCGGCGACCUGGGUCGAGACUGACGCUGAGGCGCGAAAGCGUGGGGAGCAAACAGG
rnacentral:rRNA from 1 species